AUGGAGCAAGAGUUCUUUUGGGCAUCCUUUGCAUUUUCCAUAUCAGGUUCCAUUCUUCAUAGUAUGUGUAUCUGCAAAGACAAGGACCAAGCUGACUGCUGGUAUCUAGGCCUAACAGCCUUGGUAUCUGCUCUAUAUAGUCCUCUUCUUUUGGUUGAUUCAACAAGCAGCCGUCGGAUAUACAGUUGCGCAAAUAGCCCUCCUGGCUAUAUUCAGCAAAGGAAUAGGCUAUUUUCAGUGCAUGACACAAGAAAGUUCACCCAGGAAAUACCAAAGGAAGUAGCUUGUCGUUUGAAUACCCCAAGCACGGACUGGUGGGACUAUAGUUUGGCAAGCAGCGCUUCUGAGUAUGACGAACAAUCACAUGACGUCUGCAUCUUGUUCAAGCAUGGAUGCAAGAUAUCUCCUGAAACAGGACUUGAGGUGCAAGGAUCUGUGAUAGGUGUAUUAAACCAUCUGUUGUGUUCUGCGUUCCGCGCCAUUGCCGGUGGUCAUUAUGCAUUUCCUAUGAACGUAUGCUCGGUGUUAUUUGUUUCUUGUUGUCCUCUCAUCGUGUAUAUUGGUGCAAUAUCUCCUAUUCUCUCUCGGAGAGAUGAGAUAAGGAUUACAGGGCUACCAACAGCCCACCUAUAA
rnacentral:rRNA from 1 species